GUGUAUCCUGGAGCAGUCUUGCUGAUUGUUUAUGGACAGAGACUAUUGGAUUAGUUGGCAUAUAUGAUUACCAUCCUUCUGCCUAAAGUACCUGCUUUACAAUUGCUUUUUAUGAGACAAGUCCUUAAUUUCCAUUGAGUGAUACUUGCAGUGUUAGAGAAACUGCUUCCACCCUGGGCUACGGUAGUGGAAUAUGUAGACUACACAAAAGAUGAUCAAGAGGAGCAUGAAAAAAUCCCCUGAAUCCAUUGGCUUUCUUCCCUAUACUGACAACAGUUUACUUGUGUAAGAAGAUGGAUGUCUAUUGCUUUUCUCUUGAUAUUCAUGGCACUGCUCCUCUCCAUCCAUAGGAUUAUCUUAU